GUAGCUAGAUAUAAGGAAGUUUGGGAGGGAAGGUCCUAGCAGUUGGAGGAUCAGGAGAGGUCUCCUGUAGAUGGGAAUCCUUGAGCUCAAUGAAGAAAGAGGGGGCUUCUAGGAGGCAGAAGUGAGGAAAGAAUGUCAUUGAUAACCUCCCUGGCCCUCUCAUCUGUAAUCUCACUGUGCCUCCAUUUACUUAUGUGUAAAAUGAGGAGUUUGGACUAAAUAACUGUUGAGAUCCUCUUCCAGGUCUAAAAAUGUGAACUAAUGAUCUUUUAUAGCUAGAAGACCAAGUUAUGGUAGGGACUCCUUUGGGGUAUGUUUAUAUUUGAUGUCUACUGAGUUUCCUUUCAACUCUCAGAGAAAGGCUGCUGGACCUGGAGGUAGAUGGCCUGGGUUCAGAUCUUGAUUUUCCUCCUUACUAUCGACAUGAUAUUGGGCAAGUCACUUCCUUUGUCUGGGACCUGUAAAAUGAGAUGAUUGGGCUAGAUGAUCUCAAAGGUUCUUCCAUCUUAAAAUCUGGGAUGCUCUUGUCUCCGUGAAGUAUUUUUAACAGCUGGUGCCUAUUUCACUCCAUGGAGACUGGCAGUUCUUUGGUUAAAUCCCCACUUCAUAUUUUUUCUUUUUCUCCCCAGUGAAUACAGGUAAAGCAUCCCUAGUUAGUUUUGGCCUCUCUUUGCAUUUCAAUGAUUACCCCAGUCUAGCUGCCAAAACCCUGCUAUGCUAUUAAGGCAGGCAGCCUGCUCACACAAUCGAUCCUCAUCAAAAAUUCUGAAAAAUAACUAAAAUAAAAAGAUUUGGGGCCCAGUUUUCAAAGAGAUUCAGACUGACCUCUAGCAGUCUCUCCUUUCCUGAUGUUUUCAUUUUGUUAUUUGUUUUUUCCCUAUUUUUUUCCUUUGAAAAAUAUAUUUUUUUCCUUUUUUGCACCUGCAGCCCUAUAAGGCAGCUCCCUCCCAAAUCCACUUGCCUUGUUCUGGGAAAGGAGUAUGGUUCCCUUUAAAAUUCAGCUCAGAAUCAUGGUAUUGAAAUAUUGAAAGAGGGUGGGGUAUAGAGCCAGUGGAAACUAAUUAUAGAAAUAUCGGGUGGGAUAAUUGCCACCCCAUGGCUCAUUCAGAAGUCCCUCUGCCAGGCAGCCAUCCACAUUUAGACCUCUCAUCGGAGUGGGGAAGGUACCUCCUGAAGUGGGAGUAGGCCAGGUCAGCUUCUGGCCAAUGCUGCCUACAUCUGCUGUUUGGGAAGCAUGUUUCAAGCAUAUGCUUCUCUUCUAAUACCUGCCAAAAACACAAUGGUUGGCCUAGUCCCUUCCCUUCUUGGGGUAAUGUCUCAGCUUCCCCAGCAAAGAACAGAAUGGGUAAAGUCAUUCACAUGGAGCCAGGGAGAUCAGAAUUCAAAUCCUACCUUAGCACUUAUUGGCUGUGUGAUUCUGGGCAAAUUAUCUUUGGCUCCCUGCCUCAGUUUCCUCCUCCUUAGGAUGGAGAUCAUAAUAGCACCUGUUACAGAAUUGUAUAGCUAUAGAAAUGUUUCCUACCAUAAGUUUUUACUUAUGAAGUUCUUCGCAUCUGAGCUCUCUAGAAAGUGUAGCUGAGAGGCAGAGCUGGAUUCUGAAUCCUUGAAUUUAGUCUUAAGUUCAGCAAUGAAAUGGCUCCUCAAACUGGAAAAGUAGCAUCAUCCCUUUUUUGCCCUAGUUUCCUCCUCUGUAAAAUGAGGGACUCGGAUGAGAUGAUGCUAAUCAAAAUAACACCUUUUUAUGACAAUUUAAUAAAGGUUUACAAAGCACUGGAUUUCCAGUAAUCAUGUAAGAAGUAAGUGCUGCAAAUAUGAUGUCGCUGAAGUGCAAAGGAAAUGAAGUAGCAUUGGUAGAACUAGGAUUUGAACUCAGUUCUGCUGACUCCAUAUUUUAACGUUUCCUCCACCUCUAAUAUUCUGUCCCUUUUUGUUCUUCUGUUUUGGGGGUCUUUGUUCUAAGUCGCAGAUUUUAAACUUUCUUACAUCCUGUGUUACUGUGUGGAGUAACUUGUUGGAAGGAGUCAAGCAGGCAAGCCUCUGUUAUGUUGGGCAGUAUGGUGCCUCAGGACAGAGGCUGGAUGAAAGCAGACUGGGUCAGAAUAACUCAGCAUUGCCUUACUGCCUGGGUGAUUCUGGGAAAAUCACAUGAGCUCUCUGAGUCUCUGUUUUCUCAUUUGUAAGAGGAUGGGCUUGCAAUCUGAGAUUGAGAGGUGAAAGGGACCUUUGGGGGAUCACCUGAUUCAACUCCAUCAUUUUAUAGAUGAGACAGAUAAGCCCAAGGAGGUUGAAUUGUCUUCCUUAUAGUCCUAUAGACAGUAAGUAGUUGUGGCAUGAUUCACACCCAGGUCUUUGUGAACUCUAACCUUUUUAGUGGCUAUUCCACCAUCUUGCUUGGUCUUCAGUUUAGUACCUAUACAUUCAUCUUCCAUGGGAGUAGCUAUUUGGUUGCUCUCCAUCUAGUUGAUAUUAAAGGCAAAAAGAAUGACUUAACAAGGGUAAAGAACCUUGUCCCAUAGAGAGUAAAGACUGCCAUUACUGGUGGGUGAUUUCCACCAUCCCCCUCCCCAUUGUGGUGUCAUAGACAUUUCCUUGGCCAUGGACUGCUGUUGGAGCUGGAAGGCCAGUCCAUUGUGACUUCCUUCUUAGCCCUCUAAGCACAGGGGACAAAAUCCUCCUUUUUCCAGAUGUGCACAUUCUGGGGGCAGACUUUGAAUAGAGUUGCAUGUGUCUUCUUGGCUUAGACAAAAGCAAAGAAAUCUUAAUUGGAGUACAAAAACAUGCAACUUGGGUGCUUGGUGAUGAGAUGGAUUGAGUCUUGGGACCCUCAGAAGACAUGCUCAGCCAUGGCUUUGGCUGGAUUUUCAGCAAAGUGUUCACGGCUUGUGGGUGCCUGGAAGAGGGAUCAGGGUGAAGCUACUCUGAUUGAAAGGGGAUUUUUCCACUCCCAUCUGACUCCUGCAAAGACAAUAAGGAUGGAAGUGCUUCAGCGAAUUGGAGGCAGUCAUCAUAUCCAGCAACCAGCUGCCUAACCACAGAUACCUUAUCGAUCCCAUCUCUUUGGCCAGGAAGCUUCAAGCUACAAAAUUGGAUACAUAAUAAUUGAGAAAAUAAAGGAUGUAUGAACUAA